rnacentral:sRNA from 1 species
CCUUAGCCCUGGUUGCAGCGGCAUCCUUUAAUAAAAAAAGCCAUUCAUUCGAAUGGCUUUUUUUAUUAAAGAUAAAGCGGAAGACAGGUUCCCGG